rnacentral:rRNA from 1 species
AGUGAACGCUGGCGGCGUGCCUAAUACAUGCAAGUCGAACGGAGAUUAAGUAGCUUGCUAUUUAAUCUUAGUGGCGCACGGGUGAGUAAUAUAUAGCUAAUCUGCCCUACACUAGAGGACAACAGUUGGAAACGACUGCUAAUACUCUAUACUCCUUCUUUACAUAAGUUAAGUCGGGAAAGUUUUUCGGUGUAGGAUGAGGCUAUAUCGUAUCAGCUAGUUGGUAGGGUAACGGCCUACCAAGGCUAUGACGCGUAACUGGUCUGAGAGGAUGAUCAGUCACACUGGAACUGAGACACGGUCCAGACUCCUACGGGAGGCAGCAGUAGGGAAUAUUGCUCAAUGGGGGAAACCCUGAAGCAGCAACGCCGCGUGGAGGAUGACACUUUUCGGAGCGUAAACUCCUUUUCUUGGGAAAGAAUUAUGACGGUACCCAAGG